rnacentral:rRNA from 1 species
GGUUAAGCGACUAAGCGUACACGGUGGAUGCCCUGGCAGUCAGAGGCGAUGAAGGACGUGCUAAUCUGCGAUAAGCGUCGGUAAGGUGAUAUGAACCGUUAUAACCGGCGAUUUCCGAAUGGGGAAACCCAGUGUGUUUCGACACACUAUCAUUAACUGAAUCCAUAGGUUAAUGAGGCGAACCGGGGGAACUGAAACAUCUAAGUACCCCGAGGAAAAGAAAUCAACCGAGAUUCCCCCAGUAGCGGCGAGCGAACGGGGAGCAGCCCAGAGCCUGAAUCAGUGUGUGUGUUAGUGGAAGCGUCUGGAAAGGCGCGCGAUACAGGGUGACAGCCCCGUACACAAAAAUGCACAUGCUGUGAGCUCGAUGAGUAGGGCGGGACACGUGGUAUCCUGUCUGAAUAUGGGGGGACCAUCCUCCAAGGCUAAAUACUCCUGACUGACCGAUAGUGAACCAGUACCGUGAGGGAAAGGCGAAAAGAACCCCGGCGAGGGGAGUGAAAAAGAACCUGAAACCGUGUACGUACAAGCAGUGGGAGCACGCUUAGGCGUGUGACUGCGUACCUUUUGUAUAAUGGGUCAGCGACUUAUAUUCUGUAGCAAGGUUAACCGAAUAGGGGAGCCGAAGGGAAACCGAGUCUUAACUGGGCGUUAAGUUGCAGGGUAUAGACCCGAAACCCGGUGAUCUAGCCAUGGGCAGGUUGAAGGUUGGGUAACACUAACUGGAGGACCGAACCGACUAAUGUUGAAAAAUUAGCGGAUGACUUGUGGCUGGGGGUGAAAGGCCAAUCAAACCGGGAGAUAGCUGGUUCUCCCCGAAAGCUAUUUAGGUAGCGCCUCGUGAAUUCAUCUCCGGGGGUAGAGCACUGUUUCGGCAAGGGGGUCAUCCCGACUUACCAACCCGAUGCAAACUGCGAAUACCGGAGAAUGUUAUCACGGGAGACACACGGCGGGUGCUAACGUCCGUCGUGAAGAGGGAAACAACCCAGACCGCCAGCUAAGGUCCCAAAGUCAUGGUUAAGUGGGAAACGAUGUGGGAAGGCCCAGACAGCCAGGAUGUUGGCUUAGAAGCAGCCAUCAUUUAAAGAAAGCGUAAUAGCUCACUGGUCGAGUCGGCCUGCGCGGAAGAUGUAACGGGGCUAAACCAUGCACCGAAGCUGCGGCAGCGACGCUUAUGCGUUGUUGGGUAGGGGAGCGUUCUGUAAGCCUGUGAAGGUGUGCUGUGAGGCAUGCUGGAGGUAUCAGAAGUGCGAAUGCUGACAUAAGUAACGAUAAAGCGGGUGAAAAGCCCGCUCGCCGGAAGACCAAGGGUUCCUGUCCAACGUUAAUCGGGGCAGGGUGAGUCGACCCCUAAGGCGAGGCCGAAAGGCGUAGUCGAUGGGAAACAGGUUAAUAUUCCUGUACUUGGUGUUACUGCGAAGGGGGGACGGAGAAGGCUAUGUUGGCCGGGCGACGGUUGUCCCGGUUUAAGCGUGUAGGCUGGUUUUCCAGGCAAAUCCGGAAAAUCAAGGCUGAGGCGUGAUGACGAGGCACUACGGUGCUGAAGCAACAAAUGCCCUGCUUCCAGGAAAAGCCUCUAAGCAUCAGGUAACAUCAAAUCGUACCCCAAACCGACACAGGUGGUCAGGUAGAGAAUACCAAGGCGCUUGAGAGAACUCGGGUGAAGGAACUAGGCAAAAUGGUGCCGUAACUUCGGGAGAAGGCACGC